rnacentral:rRNA from 1 species
GACGAACGCUGGCGGCGUGCUUAACACAUGCAAGUCGAACGGUAAGGCCCUUCGGGGUACACGAGUGGCGAACGGGUGAGCAACACGUGGGUGAUCUGCCCUGCACUUUGGGAUAAGCCUGGGAAACUGGGUCUAAUACCGGAUAGGACCACUGCCUGCAUGGGUGGUGGUGGAAAGCUUUUGCGGUGUGGGAUGGGCCCGCGGCCUAUCAGCUUGUUGGUGGGGUGAUGGCCUACCAAGGCGACGACGGGUAGCCGGCCUGAGAGGAUGACCGGCCACACUGGGACUGAGAUACGGCCCAGACUCCUACGGGAGGCAGCAGUGGGGAAUAUUGCACGAUGGGCGCAAGCCUGAUGCAGCGACGCCGCGUGAGGGAUGACGGCCUUCGGGUUGUAAACCUCUUUCAGCACCGACGAAGCGCAAGUGACGGUAGGUGCAGAAGAAGGACCGGCCAACUACGUGCCAGCAGCCGCCGUAA